rnacentral:rRNA from 1 species
UACGUAGGGUGCGAGCGUUGUCCGGAAUUACUGGGCGUAAAGGGCGCGUAGGCGGCCUGCUAAGUCGAACGUGAAAUCCCUGGGCUCAACCCAGGAACUGCGUCCGAUACUGGUUGGCUUGAAUCCGGGAGAGGGACGUGGAAUUCCAGGUGUAGCGGUGAAAUGCGUAGAUAUCUGGAGGAACACCGGUGGCGAAGGCGGCAUCCUGGACCAACACUGACGCUGAGUGAGCGAAAGCCAGGGGAGCAAACGGG